UACGAAGGGGGCUAGCGUUGCUCGGAAUCACUGGGCGUAAAGCGCACGUAGGCGGCUUUUUAAGUUAGGGGUGAAAUCCUGGAGCUCAACUCCAGAACUGCCUUUGAUACUGAGAAGCUUGAGUCCGGGAGAGGUGAGUGGAACUGCGAGUGUAGAGGUGAAAUUCGUAGAUAUUCGCAAGAACACCAGUGGCGAAGGCGGCUCACUGGCCCGGUACUGACGCUGAGGUGCGAAAGCGUGGGGAGCGAACAGG
rnacentral:rRNA from 1 species